GAUGAAGAACGUAGCGAAAUGCGAUACGUAAUGUGAAUUGCAAAUUCAGUGAAUCAUCGAGUCUUUGAACGCACAUUGCGCCCCCUGGUAUUCCGGGGGGCAUGCCUGUCCGAGCGUCAUUGCUGCCCUCAAGCACGGCUUGUGUGUUGGGCCUCCGUCCUCCUCCCGGGGGACGGGCCCGAAAGGCAGCGGCGGCACCGCGUCCGGUCCUCGAGCGUAUGGGGCUUCGUCACCCGCUCUUGUAGGCCCGGCCGGCGCUUGCCGACACAUCAAUCUUUUUUCCAGGUUGGCCUCGGAUCAGGUAGGGAUACCCGCUGAACUUAAGCAUAUCAAUAAGCGGAGGA
rnacentral:misc_RNA from 1 species